AACGGAGGAUGCAAGUGUUAUCCGGAAUCACUGGGCGUAAAGCGUCUGUAGGUGGUUCGAAAAGUCCACUGUUAAAAAUUGAGGCUUAACUUCAAAGAUGCCGUGGAAACUUUCAAACUAGAGUAUGGUAGGGGUAGAGGGAAUUUCCAGUGGAGCGGUGAAAUGCGUAGAUAUUGGAAAGACCACCGAUGGCGAAGGCACUCUACUGGGCCACUACUGACACUGAGAGACGAAAGCUAGGGGAGCAAAUGGG
rnacentral:rRNA from 1 species